ensembl:snoRNA SNORD36 Small nucleolar RNA SNORD36
CUGCUAUGAUGUCUUGAAUUUCUUCACCUGAAUCUACUGUGAAGAUCAAAAAGACGAGCUUUUUAACCCUGAGCGAC